AUGCUUUAUUAAAGGUACAGUGUUUAGUAUGUGGUGACAUGUAUCAGAACAGAUUUUCUUUACUGCACACUGUCGUGGGAUCAAUCGGACCUUCACAACUUCCUCUUCAAGCGGACAAUUUUAUUGCUUGAAAAGCCGCACAAACUGUAGGGGAUGUCACUUCUCUGAAUAUCUCCCUGCUCUCUGAUUGAAAGACCUGACACAAAUACACCAAAGAUGGCUGCAGCAUUGGCUCUCCUUAUUGUUGGCUGUGUGCUGCCAGGUGCCCUGGGUGGACGUUUCCAGGUCUUUCUUCCACAGACUAUAGAGGUUCUAAAAGGAUCCUGUGUGACAAUCCCCUGCUCAUUUGACAUAGAGAACAGAUUUGAAUCAAGCUUAGAUAACACAUGUAGAGCAGUUUGGUUUGAAAACAGUUACAGUAUUUUGUUUGGAGUGCAACAUAUUGAAAUAUUAUUAUCUUGAGUCAACAGUUAACAUUUCAGUCAAAGAUGAUCCACAGAGACCCACUCUGACUCCGUCCACACUGAAGGUGAGAGAGGGAACCUCAGUGACGUUGACGUGCUCUGCUCCAGCUCCCUGUCCGUCUCUGCCUCCAACUCUGACAUGGACCCCUGGCCUGGGUGAAAGUCAGGAGACACUGCAGGAGAAUCAGGACAAAACUAAAGUCAAGGUGUCUGUGGUGAACUUCACCGCUUCACACCUCCACCACAGACAGGAAAUCUCCUGUACUGCUGUCUACAGCAAACAAGAUGGCAGCACUGAGUCAUCUGUAAACAGCAGUUUAACAGCUGAUAUUACAUGUGCUCAGAACUAUUGUAACUCCUUCAGUGGAGCUCAAGGCUUGGUUCUUACUGGCGUGUGUCUCAUUCUGAGCAUUAUUAUCAACAUAAUCUGCUUGGUGCUCCUUUGGAAAAAAAGGAAGAAUGUGAAGCCGAAAGAAGAGGACAACACUUAUGUAAACCUGGAUCACAGAAACAGAAGUCCAGACUAUGAUGUGAUGGCCCAACGUCAUAAGUGAUUAUGUGUACAAGACAUCCUGCUUCCUCACUCUGCUUUUCCUGCAUUGCCUUAAAUAUCAACUUUGGCGUCUGAGUGUUCAUAGAUCAACAUUCCUCAGGCUGUUUCACACAAAAUGUAUAUAACUGUACAAUAUUUUUCGAAGUUAAAACUUCUCCAUGAAGCCUCAGAGAUGUAUGUUUUUGUGCCUCAAUGUGGCCGGACCUUAACCUAAGGGGUGGUGUCUUUACUCUGGUGCAAUUUAUGUUGAAUAUUUCUGAAGCACUGCAAUUCAUGUACAGACCUUUGCUAUCUCUUAAAGGUACAGUGCAUAUCUGCAGGGACGGCUGUAGAUUAACUACUUGCAAACAACAGCGUUCAAAUGUCUUCAGUAAAAUGAGCAAACACAUCUCAGACACCUUCAAAUUUCACUUUCAAAAAUUCAGGGCUGAAAUGUGGAGAAUAACGCAACUUAAUUAUUGUGUGCAUAUAUCUGUGUCUGCUUCCCAUACAUAACAAUAGCAAUAAAUAACUAUACUAAUCAAUCACUGUGCAUUUCUGGUGUUCCAAUGCAUGAAUUUUAUACUUUGAUUCAGUGUCAUGUGUGAAUAAAGAGCUGCAUUGAUUUGACAGAG